AUUGAAGCAAGCUAUAUUUGUUGCAAUCUCUCGAUUUAAGAUUCUAACACUGCAAUGUCAGUCUCAACAAUAAACGCUUUUAACAUAAAUAUUAAUAUUUCCGAUGCUCGAUGCAAAAUAGGGUUUUGACCAGUUGACAGCUCUCUUAAGACGAGAAACCGGGAUACACAAGAUAACCGGGUCUAGAAGAACUAGGAGGCGUGGUGAUGGAGCCAGGGAAAUGAUUCAACAUUAAAUUGAAAUGAACCAUGGUAAGGGGAAGGACUACUCAACAAUAAAAGAUGUAUUACUUAAAAGCUGUUUCUCUUUUUUUUGGGAAAAGAAACACAGAGUAAAAAGGUUUUUAGAUAAAACAUAAGUGUAUCUAGUUUCCACAGCCCUGUUUACACUGUUAAGAAAAUAAAUUCUCUUCAAGCAUGGCAGCGAAUAAAAAUAGAGAAAUUGU